rnacentral:rRNA from 1 species
GACGAACGCUGGCGGCGUGCUUAACACAUGCCAGUCGAACGGAAAGGCCCUGCUUUUGUGGGGUGCUCGAGUGGCGAACGGGUGAGUAACACGUGAGUAACCUGCCCUUGACUUUGGGAUAACUUCAGGAAACUGGGGCUAAUACCGGAUAGGAGCUCCUGCUGCAUGGUGGGGGUUGGAAAGUUUCGGCGGUUGGGGAUGGACUCGCGGCUUAUCAGCUUGUUGGUGGGGUAGUGGCUUACCAAGGCUUUGACGGGUAGCCGGCCUGAGAGGGUGACCGGCAACAUUGGGACUGGGAUACGGCCCAGACUCCUACGGGAGGCAGCAGUGGGGAAUAUUGCACAAUGGGCGGAAGCCUGAUGCAGCAACGCCGCGUGCGGGAUGACGGCCUUCGGGUUGUAAACCGCUUUCGCCUGUGACGAAGCGUGAGUGACGGUAAUGGGUAAAGAAGCACCGGCUAACUACGU